rnacentral:lncRNA from 1 species
CCGGCCGAGCUGUCGCCGCCGCCGCCUGGGCUGCCGCAGACCGCGGGAGAGCGUCUGCGCGAAGCCCCAGCGCAGCCCCGGCGGGACCGCCGCCGCCGCCCGAGAGCGAGCAACAGCUUCUGGGCUGGAAGAGCCACUGCCCCCACGCACCAGCGGCCCGCGCGCGAAGUUUUACAGGGGAGGAAGCUGAAGCCCUGAGAAGAGCACAAAGUGGUCCAGCCCUGUAGAGGAGUAGCAGCACAGGGCACUCAGCAAGGACAGGGCUCCCAGCGGCUUCAGGUUGGGCCGUGGACCAGCAGCAUCACUCAGAUCUGCUGAACCUGAAUCUCCAUCUUAAACCUCUGGUUUGCUGCAUUUGCACAUGAAAGCUGGAGAAGGACAGUCAUGAAGUGUAAUCUCCCCGUCUACCGAAAGUUCCUUUUUAGCUCCACGCUUCUGAACCUGGCGCAGGCCCUCUGGGUUCAUGGAGAAGCCAAUAGAUGAAGGGAGAAGCGUGCCCAAGUACCAUGGGAUGGCUUCCUGGAUUUUAUACGUGAAAUAAGGUAGAGGUAUUUAGCCCUCACCAUCAUUU